rnacentral:rRNA from 1 species
UUUCAGAAGGCGCUGGCCUCUCUGAUGAUGCUCAUCUCAUGGGAGAUUUGGACCGAACGCAAUGCUAGAGUCUUCCAUAACACGGCCGUCCCUUCGAUGGUUCUCAUUUCCAAGAUUAAAGAGGAGGUGUCCCUUUGGGCUUUGGCCGGUGCGGAGCAGUUGGGUAUUGUAAUGCCGCGAGAGUAG